AGAAUCAACGCUGGCGGCGUGCCUAACACAUGCAAGUCGAACGAGAAAGGGGAGCAAUCCCUGAGUAAAGUGGCGCACGGGUGAGUAACACGUGACUAACCUACCCUGGAGUGGGGGAUAACUGAGGGAAACCUUAGCUAAUACCGCAUAACACCUACGGGUCAAAGGAGCAAUUCGCUUUGGGAGGGGGUCGCGGCCGAUUAGUUAGUUGGCGGGGUAAUGGCCCACCAAGACAGUGAUCGGUAU
rnacentral:rRNA from 1 species